ensembl:lncRNA
UGAGAUGGCUGGAUGACAUCACCAACUCGACGGACAUGAGUUUGGUUAAACUCUGGGAGUUGGUGAUGGACAGGCAGCUGGCGUGCCUCGAUUAAUGGGGUCGCAAAGAAUCGGACACGACUGAGCGACUGAACUGAACUGAACUGAACUGAUUGAAUCCAGUACAAAGCCUUAUGCAGCCAGUUUUGGUGUCCUGAAGGAAGCCAGCCUGAGAAUGAAGUCAACAUCAACACACGAAGCCAUACAGAGCCAAGGUGAUCUCAAAGUAAAUGACAUCAUUAACCUCUGGAUACAACUCUGCCUAAAGUUUAUUUUACUUUGUAUAUUUAAUUUACUUAAGCUAGAAAGUUUCUAUUUUUAUUUAAGUCACUGUUGAAUUCUUGUUUCAAGAGUUUCAAAAAGACUUCUGAGAACUUGAUGUGAAUUUUGUUGAGAGAAGGAAAAAGGUCUUGCCACAUAACAGGGGAUGGCAGGAGGGAAAAAUAUCAUGAGGAUAAAAUAACAGGAGGUUGGAAUCAAGGUUUGGCUAGAACAGAAUAUUUAUUAGAAGAGCUGCUGCUAUUGCUGCUAAGUCGCUUCAGUCGUGUCCAACUCUGUGCGACCUCAUGGAUGGCAGCCCAUCAGGCUCCCCUGUCCCUGGGAUUCUCCAGGCAAGAACACUGGAGUGGGUUGCCAUUUCCUUCUCCAGUGCAUGAAAGUGAAAAGUGAAAGUGAAGUCACUCAGUUGUGUCCGACUCUUCGCGACCCAGUGGACUGCAGCCUACCAGGCUCCUCCGUCCAUGGGAUUUUCCAGGCAAGAGUACUGGAGUGGGGUGCCAUUGCCUUCUCCAUUAGAAGAGGAGAGGGGCAUAAAGUUGUACAGACGGGUUAAGUGUAAGUUUUGAGGGGUCUGGAAAUGUCAAACUAAAUAAUUUCAACCUUCUUCUAUAGGCACAUGGUAUAUUAGAUGGUUUCUGAACAGGGAAGUUGAAUCAAUUAAUAUGAUAUUUUAGGUUAAUUAACAGUGAAGUGCAAAUUGUAUCGGAAGCAGAGAGAAAUCAGAUCAGAAUUGACUGCCCUGAUGUUUCCCAAUGCAAUCA